rnacentral:pre_miRNA from 1 species
CAUAUCUCAUAUGACUGAAUUGUGGGAGAACUUAUAUGAUUCUACCCUUUUCAUUUUUAUGCUGCUUCAGAG